UACGUAGGUGGCAAGCGUUGUCCGGAAUUACUGGGUGUAAAGCGCGUGUAGGCGGCAGACCAAGUCGGCGGUGAAAGCGCCCGGCUCAACUGGGCGAGGUCCGUGGAAACUGGUCAGCUGGAGGACGGUAGAGGCGAGUGGAAUUCCCGGUGUAGUGGUGAAAUGCGUAGAGAUCGGGAGGAACACCUGUGGUGAAGGCGGCUCGCUGGGCCGGUCCUGACGCUGAGACGCGAAAGCGUGGGGAGCGAACAGG
rnacentral:rRNA from 1 species